GUGGGGAAUAUUGCACAAUGGGGGAAACCCUGAUGCAGCAACGCCGCGUGAGUGAUGAAGGCCUUCGGGUUGUAAAGCUCUGUCUUCAGGGACGAUAAUGACGGUACCUGAGGAGGAAGCCACGGCUAACUACGUGCCAGCAGCCGCGGUAAUACGUAGGUGGCAAGCGUUGUCCGGAUUUACUGGGCGUAAAGGGAGCGUAGGCGGAUACUUAAGUGGGAUGUGAAAUACCCGGGCUCAACUUGGGUGCUGCAUUCCAAACUGGAUAUCUAGAGUGCAGGAGAGGUAAGUGGAAUUCCUAGUGUAGCGGUGAAAUGCGUAGAGAUUAGGAAGAACACCAGUGGCGAAGGCGACUUACUGGACUGUAACUGACACUGAGGCAUGAAAGCGUGGGGAGCAAACAGGAUUAGAUACCCGUGUAGUCC
rnacentral:rRNA from 1 species